rnacentral:rRNA from 1 species
UGAAUUUGGGUUUAUAACUUAGGUUUGGGUGGCGGACGGGUGAGUAACGCGUAAAGAACUUGCCUCACAGCUAGGGACAACAUUUAGAAAUGAAUGCUAAUACCUGAUAUUAUGGUUAUAGGGCAUCCUAUAAUUAUGAAAGCUAAAUGCACUGUGAGAGAGCUUUGCGUCCCAUUAGCUAGUUGGAGAGGUAACAGCUCACCAAGGCGAUGAUGGGUAGCCGGCCUGAGAGGGUGAACGGCCACAAGGGGACUGAGACACGGCCCUUACUCCUACGGGAAGCAGCAGUGGGGAAUAUUGGACAAUGGACCGAGAGUCUGAUCCAGCAAUUCUGUGUGCACGAUGAAGUUUUUCGGAAUGUAAAGUGCUUUCAGUUGGGAAGAAAAAAAUGACGGUACCGACAGAAGAAGUGACGGCUAAAUACGUGCCAGCAGCCGCGGUAAUACGUAUGUCACGAGCGUUAUCCGGAUUUAUUGGGCGUAAAGCGCGUCUAGGUGGUUAUGUAAGUCUGAUGUGAAAAUGCAGGGCUCAACUCUGUAUUGCGUUGGUAACUGAAUAACUAGAGUACUAGAGAGGUAAGCGGAACUACAAGUGUAGAGGUGAAAUUCGUAGAUAUUUGUAGGAAUGCCGAUGGGGAAGCCAGCUUACUGGACAGAUACUGACGCUAAGGCGCGAAAGCGUGGGUAGCAAACAGGAUUAGAUACCCUGGUAGUCACGCUGUAAACGAUGAUUACUAGGUGUUGGGGGUCGAACCUCAGCG